CGGCAGCACAGAGAAGCUUGCUUCUUGGGUGGCGAGUGGCGAACGGGUGAGUAAUAUAUCGGAACGUACCGAGUAAUGGGGGAUAACUAAUCGAAAGAUUAGCUAAUACCGCAUAUUCUCUGAGGAGGAAAGCAGGGGACCUUCGGGCCUUGCGUUAUUCGAGCGGCCGAUAUCUGAUUAGCUAGUUGGUGGGGUAAAGGCCUACCAAGGCGACGAUCAGUAGCGGGUCUGAGAGGAUGAUCCGCCACACUGGGACUGAGACACGGCCCAGACUCCUACGGGAGGCAGCAGUGGGGAAUUUUGGACAAUGGGCGCAAGCCUGAUCCAGCCAUGCCGCGUGUCUGAAGAAGGCCUUCGGGUUGUAAAGGACUUUUGUCAGGGAAGAAAGGGCUGUUGCUAAUAUCGACAGCUGAUGACGGUACCUGAAGAAUAAGCACCGGCUAACUACGUGCCAGCAGCCGCGGUAAUACGUAGGGUGCGGGCGUUAAUCGGAAUUACUGGGCGUAAAGCGAGCGCAGACGGUUACUUAAGCAGGAUGUGAAAUCCUCGGGCUCAACCUGGGAACUGCGUUCUGAACUGGGUGACUAGAGUGUGUCAGAGGGAGGUAGAAUUCCACGUGUAGCAGUGAAAUGCGUAGAGAUGUGGAGGAAUACCGAUGGCGAAGGCAGCCUCCUGGGAUAACACUGACGUUCAUGCUCGAAAGCGUGGGUAGCAAACAGGAUUAGAUACCUUGGUAGUCCACGCCCUAAACGAUGUCAAUUAGCUGUUGGGCAACUUGAUUGCUUAGUAGCGUAGCUAACGC
rnacentral:rRNA from 1 species